rnacentral:rRNA from 1 species
UUAGGGCGGCCAUAGCGGCGGGGCGACACCCGUACCCAUCCCGAACACGGACGUUAAGCCCGCCUGCGUUCCAGUGAGUACUGGAGUACGAGAGUCUCUGGGAAACCCGGUUCGCCGCCUCCA